UUCCAAUGAAUACCAGAACACCAUUUCCUGC
rnacentral:piRNA from 1 species